AUUCUGGCUCAGGAUGAACGCUAGCUACAGGCUUAACACAUGCAAGUCGAGGGGCAGCAUGGGAGUUGCUUGCAACUUCCGAUGGCGACCGGCGCACGGGUGAGUAACGCGUAUCCAACCUGGCCCUUAGUAGGGAACAGCCCGGCGAAAGUCGGAUUAAUGCCCUAUGUUUUUCCAAUGAUGGCAUCUGACUUGGAACAAAGAUUCAUCGCUAAGGGAUGGGGAUGCGUCUGAUUAGCUUGUCGGCGGGGUAACGGCCCACCGAGGCGACGAUCAGUAGGGGUUCUGAGAGGAAGGUCCCCCACAUUGGUACUGAGACACGGACCAAACUCCUACGGGAGGCAGCAGUGAGGAAUAUUGGUCAAUGGGCGCGAGCCUGAACCAGCCAAGUAGCGUGCAGGAAAGACUGCCCUAUGGGUUGUAAACUGCUUUUAUGCGGGAAUAAAGUCAGGUACGCGUACCUGUUUGUAUGUACCGCAUGAAUAAGGACCGGCUAAUUCCGUGCCAGCAGCUGC
rnacentral:rRNA from 1 species